rnacentral:rRNA from 1 species
AAUAUAAUAACUCAUUGUGUUACGUCUCUGCUCAAUAUAGCCGCAAAGUUUGAUCACAAGUGUCAUANGCUUAUUUUCCCCGCCCCGCCUUAACGGGGGGGCAAGUUAUAUCGAAAUCNUGGGUUAAGGCCCCCCGGGGUUCAUAAUGUUAUAUGAACGCCCUGGGCUAACAUCGGGAUAUCCAUUUAAAUCGCNCAUCUGGGCUCCUUGAAGGGGUGUGUAAUUUCCCGAGUAGCGGUGAACUACGUAGAUUUUUGGGAAAACCCUGGCGGGAAGAGGACUCCCGGGCANAAAACUACAGNUCGGUGGCGAAACGCCUGGGAGCAAACCGGGAUUAAGUUCCCCUGGUUGCUCCCCGCGUUAAACAAGUUCGAUUUGGAGGUGUGGAUUCUUNAAAAAUUUGUUUCCGGAGUUAACUCUUUUAAAUGGGCCCUGCCUUGGGGAUUAACGGGCCGCCAAAGGUAAAAAACUCAAAAGCAAUUGACCGGGGCCCCCCCCCAAGCGGUGNGAGCAAUGUUGAUUUAAUUUGGAUGGCAACGGCGAAGAACCUUUACCUUGGCUUGACCAUGUCCUGGAAUCCUCCCAGAGAUGCAGGGAGGUUCCUUCUGGGAAUCAGAACACCAGGUGCUGCAAUGGCUGUAGUCAGCUCGUGUUCGUGAGAUGUUGGGUUAAGUCCCGCAACGAGCGCAAACCCCUGUCCUUUUUUUUCCAGCACGUAAGGGUGGGAACUCAAGGGAGACUGCCGGUGACAAACCGGAGGAAGGUGGGGAUGACGUCAAGUCAUCAUGGUUCCUUACGGCCAGGGCCUAACAUACGUGCUACAAUGGCGCGUACCAGAGGGCUGCAAGGCUAGNCGAGAAGUGAGCGAAUCCUCAAAAAAAGCGCGUUCGUAGUCCGGAUUGGAGUAUUGCAAUCUCGGACCGCCUUAAAGUUAGAUUACUUCUAUAUCACUCACCUUUA